AACGAACGCUGGCGGCAGGCUUAACACAUGCAAGUCGAACGCUCGUAGCAAUACGGGAGUGGCGGACGGGUGAGUAACGCGUGGGAACGUGCCCUGAGGUACGGAAUAACUGAGGGAAACUUCAGCUAAUACCGUAUGAGCCCCGAGAGGGGGAAAGAUUUAUCGCCUUGGGAGCGGCCCGCGUCGGAUUAGCUAGUUGGUGGGGUAACGGCCUACCAAGGCUUCGAUCCGUAGCUGGUCUGAGAGGACGAUCAGCCACACUGGGACUGAGACACGGCCCAGACUCCUACGGGAGGCAGCAGUGGGGAAUAUUGCGCAAUGGGGGGAAACCCUGACGCAGCAACGCCGCGUGUGUGAUGAAGGCCUGGUCGUAAGCACUGUGAGGUGGAAC
rnacentral:rRNA from 1 species